rnacentral:rRNA from 1 species
UUACCUACGGGGGGCAGCAGUGAGGAAUAUUGGUCAAUGGGCGGGAGCCUGAACCAGCCAAGUCGCGUGAGGGAAGACGGUCCUAUGGAUUGUAAACCUCUUUAAGCGGGGAGCAAUGCCGGGCACGCGUGCCCGGAGGGAGAGUACCCGCAGAAUAAGCAUCGGCUAACUCCGUGCCAGCAGCCGCGGUAAUACGGCGGAUGCGAGCGUUAUCCGGAUUUAUUGGGUUUAAAGGGUGCGUAGGCGGACUGCCAAGUCAGCGGUAAUAUUGCGGGGCUCAACCCCGUCGAGCCGUCGAAACUGGC